rnacentral:rRNA from 1 species
UACGUAGGGGGCAAGCGUUGUCCGGAAUCAUUGGGCGUAAAGAGCGUGUAGGUGGCUCGGUAAGUCCGCUGUGAAAGUCCAGGGCUCAACCCUGGAAUGCCGGUGGAAACUGUCGAGCUAGAGUCCGGAAGAGGCGAGUGGAAUUCCUGGUGUAGCGGUGAAAUGCGCAGAUAUCAGGAGGAACACCAAUGGCGAAGGCAGCUCGCUGGGACGGUACUGACACUGAGAGACGAAAGCUAGGGGAGCGAAUGGG